rnacentral:rRNA from 1 species
CCUACGGGAGGCAGCAGUGGGGAAUUUUGGACAAUGGGCGAAAGCCUGAUCCAGCAAUGCCGCGUGCAGGAAGAAGGCCUUCGGGUUGUAAACUGCUUUUGUACGGAACGAAACGGUCUGCUUUAAUACAGUGGGCUAAUGACGGUACCGUAAGAAUAAGCACCGGCUAACUACGUGCCAGCAGCCGCGGUAAUACGUAGGGUGCGAGCGUUAAUCGGAAUUACUGGGCGUAAAGCGUGCGCAGGCGGUUAUAUAAGACAGUUGUGAAAUCCCCGGGCUCAACCUGGGAAUUGCAUCUGUGACUGUAUAGCUAGAGUACGGUAGAGGGGGAUGGAAUUCCGCGUGUAGCAGUGAAAUGCGUAGAUAUGCGGAGGAACACCGAUGGCGAAGGCAAUCCCCUGGACCUGUACUGACGCUCAUGCACGAAAGCGUGGGGAGCAAACAGGAUUAGAUACCCUGGUAGUCCACGCCCUAAACGAUGUCAACUGGUUGUUGGGUGCAUUAGUACUCAGUAACGAAGCUAACGCGUGAAGUUGACCGCCUGGGGAGUACGGCCGCAAGGUUGAAACUUAAAUGAAUUGGUAGNGNGNGAGNGCGAGACGACGACGAGGAGGAGG